UCAUCAAUGGAAGCAAAGUCACAUUCAGAUAAUAAAUGUACCGCCUCUGAGUUUUGCCCGCUAGAUGGCACAACACGCCUUAUGAAUAGGUAGCUUGCCCGAUUUAAUCGCGUAGUCAGUUGUGGCCGCGAAAGUCCUUGGAUACCCAUGAUCCUUCGCGUCGGGGCGUAGCUGGGAAGACACACUGCCGCUUACCGUCACGUGUAGCGUUUCUUUCGCACCUUUCCAGACUAGCAGAACGUUUUUUUUUUGUGAAAUUAUUUGCCUUACCGGUGUUAAUACUUGACUUUGUGAUUUUUUUAGCCAGUUUGAGUAUAUUUUGGACUUUGUUUUACCACGAGUGGUACAAAAAUGACAGUUUUAACUUUGGAAAGUGGGAGACAUUCAAAUUAUCAUUCUUAAGUCACCAGUGGCCCAUCAUUUGUUCACUUUUUCCUGUCCUUCCCAAUGAAUCAUCCAGCAGAGGUCCACCAUCAUACUGACAUCCCAAAGUUCCUGGUACUUACUUUAAACGUUCUAGAUAUCCUUUCACCCUGCUCUUCACUCAGCACUCCAAGAUUUUCAGGUCAUGGGAAUCCAGAGUCUAUCCUGGCAACAUUGAGUCCAGGAUGAAAAUAAAACUCUGAAAGGAAUGUUGGUGUUUUACAGAGAACAAUAAUCUGCAUAAUAUGUCCAGUAAUACUGGGCUUAUUCAGAGAUGCCUGUUAACCUUACAUGUCCCAUUUUGGAGCAUGGGAUGAGACUGGAGUAUCUGAUGAAAACUCAACACAAGAAAGUGUGAAAACUCCAAAGAGACAGCAAUCAGACUGGAAAUGGUUUACUUUAGCACUCUCAUUUAUGUAACUGCAUGCUGAUUUUGCUUAGAAUCUUUUAAUCAUAGUGAUUUGGAUCCUACUAUAGCAGCAUCAGGUACAAGGUACACCAGGUUAAUUAACAGUCACCAUUCAACCUAAGAGUCAUGUCUUUGGAAAGGACACAGGAACUGCGCUUUGACAUUGGACCAGGCCAGGUACUGAAUUGAAUGCAUUAACAUCCUACAAUUACAGAUUCAGAGGUUCACUGGCUCAAUGUGCAAGAGGUUUCAUGCAGUGGUGAUAAAAAGAAGUUGUCACACAAAGUACUGACAACUGCAGGACUACAGAUGUUAAUGGUUAUUGUUUUUCUGUUGUUUUUUGUUAUUGUGCUGUUUUCUUUUUCCUAUUAUUCUCAUUUCAGCAAUGAAGGUUGAACUUUCACUCCAAUAAGUGUUAAUGUAUCUUUUUUUAAUAAAUACAUUGUAUACUGUACAAUAAAGGUAGAUGAAAAAUA